UACGUAGGUGGCAAGCGUUGUCCGGAUUUACUGGGCGUAAAGGAUGCGUAGGCGGACAUUUAAGUCAGAUGUGAAAUACCCGAGCUUAACUUGGGUGCUGCAUUUGAAACUGGGUGUCUAGAGUGCAGGAGAGGUAAGUGGAAUUCCUAGUGUAGCGGUGAAAUGCGUAGAGAUUAGGAAGAACACCAGUGGCGAAGGCGACUUUCUGGCCUGUUCUUGACGCUGAGGCGCGAAAGCUAGGGGAGCAAACGGG
rnacentral:rRNA from 1 species